GGGCCCGCACAAGCAGUGGAGUAUGUGGUUUAAUUCGAAGCAACGCGAAGAACCUUACCAGGUCUUGACAUCCAAUGAAUCCCUAAGAGAUUAGGGAGUGCCCUUCGGGGAACAUUGAGACAGGUGGUGCAUGGUUGUCGUCAGCUCGUGUCGUGAGAUGUUGGGUUAAGUCCCGCAACGAGCGCAACCCUUGUUAAUAGUUGCUACGUAAGAGCACUCUAUUAAGACUGCCGUUGAUAAAACGGAGGAAGGUGGGGAUGACGUCAAAUCAUCAUGCCCCUUAUGACCUGGGCUACACACGUACUACAAUGGUCGCUAACAGAGGGAAGCAAUACCGCGAGGUGGAGCAAAACCCUAAAAGCGAUCUCAGUUCAGAUUGUAGGCUGAAACUCGCCUAUAUGAAGAUGGAAUUGCUAGUAAUCGCGGAUCAGCAUGCCGCGGUGAAUACGUUCCCGGGCCUU
rnacentral:rRNA from 1 species